rnacentral:rRNA from 1 species
UACAGAGGUCCCGAGCGUUGUUCGGAUUCACUGGGCGUAAAGGGUGCGUAGGUGGUUGGGUAAGUCUGAUGUGAAAUCUCCGGGCUCAACCCGGAAAUGGCAUUGGAUACUAUUCGGCUAGAGGUUUGGAGGGGGGACUGGAAUUCUCGGUGUAGCAGUGAAAUGCGUAGAUAUCGAGAGGAACACCAGUGGCGAAGGCGAGUCCCUGGACAACACCUGACACUGAGGCACGAAAGCUAGGGGAGCAAACGGG